GCGGCGGCUUAACACAUGCAAGUCGAGGGGUAACAGGGGAGCUUGCUUCCGCUGACGACCGGCGCACGGGUGCGUAACGCGUAUAGAACCUACCUUUUACAGAGGGAUAGCCUUUAGAAAUGAAGAUUAAUACCUUAUGGUAUUAUAGAUUCGCAUGAAUUUAUAAUUAAAGAUUUAUCGGUAAAAGAUGGCUAUGCGUCCUAUUAGCUAGAUGGUAAGGUAACGGCUUACCAUGGCGACGAUAGGUAGGGGUCCUGAGAGGGAGAUCCCCCACACUGGUACUGAGACACGGACCAGACUCCUACGGGAGGCAGCAGUGAGGAAUAUUGGGCAAUGGAGGCAACUCUGACCCAGCCAUGCCGCGUGCAGGAAGACGGCCCUAUGGGUUGUAAACUGCUUCUAUACAGGAAGAAACACUCGUACGUGUACGAGCUUGACGGUACUGUAAGAAUAAGGACCGGCUAACUCCGUGCCAGCAGCCGCGGUAAUACGGAGGGUCCGAGCGUUAUCCGGAAUCAUUGGGUUUAAAGGGUCCGCAGGCGGUCAAUUAAGUCAGAGGUGAAAUCCCAUAGCUUAACUAUGGAACUGCCUUUGAUACUGGUUGACUUGAGUCAUAUGGAAGUAGAUAGAAUGUGUAGUGUAGCGGUGAAAUGCAUAGAUAUUACACAGAAUACCGAUUGCGAAGGCAGUCUACUACGUAUGUACUGACGCUGAGGGACGAAAGCGUGGGGAGCGAACAGGAUUAGAUACCCUGGUAGUCCACGCCGUAAACGAUGGAUACUAGUUGUUGGGCAUUAGCUCAGUGACUAAGCGAAAGUGAUAAGUAUCCCACCUGGGG
rnacentral:rRNA from 1 species